GAGACAACAUCUUAGUGCAUAGCUCUUUCUGUCCUCGAACUCACAAGCUUGAUCUCAAAUUCACAGAUAUUUGUCUGCCUCUGCCUCCCAAAUGCUCGGAUCAAAGUCUUGUGCUACCACACCUGACUUUAGAAUACAAUUUUACUUCAUACUAUUAAACCCUUCCUCCACUGCUAAAAAACAAGCAAAGCUAGAUAACCCAGUCAAUGAUAGAAACUAAGUUGAAUUAAGAAGCAAUGGGACACUCGUUGACUCUAGAAGAACACUCCGGCUGGUAUUUUGUCAUUCACUAAGAAAACAGAUUAUGAGAGAGACCUCAGAAGCUCUCCAAAGCAAACUGCCCUUCCAGCUUAGGCCCUCGGGGAAGAUCUCUGAUGCAUUCUCACUUCCUUGAAAUGCUGUGCUUCGUUCCUUACAAAUACCCUUUCAUGGAGCUUACAAGAAGAAACAGGAGCUCAGGCAUAAGUCAGCAAUAAGCUGGCUGAGUAACUCUGGGCUGUCAAGAAGCUUGCCACACAUGCCUUCCCUGAGAACUCUUCUGCUUGGUUUCUGCAUUUCCUCUCCUCUUGCAUCCAAACCACAAGCUCUCAGUUGCUCACCCUGAGAAACCAAAGGAGAUCACCACAAAGUGGCCCCAUGGAUGAAAGCCCUCUUUCCACAGAAACUCACUGGAGCACCAGCCAAAGACACUGUCCAAGGUUUUUCCUAAGAAAUGCACCCACGACAACAGCAAUCCAGUGAUGACAAACGAUCAUCUGGCUUAGUUAGAAUUCUCUGCAACAAGCAUUUUUCAUAAUGUUUUGGCUUUAUAUAAAAAAUAAAAGACUUUGUGAGAGUUACCACA